rnacentral:rRNA from 1 species
UACGAAGGGGGCUAGCGUUGCUCGGAAUCACUGGGCGUAAAGGGUGCGUAGGCGGGUCUUUAAGUCAGGGGUGAAAUCCUGGAGCUCAACUCCAGAACUGCCUUUGAUACUGGGUGUCUUGAGUGUGGUAGAGGUGAGUGGAAUUGCGAGUGUAGAGGUGAAAUUCGUAGAUAUUCGCAGGAACACCAGCGGCGAAGGCGGCAUCCUGGACUGGUCCUGACACUCAGGAGCGAAAGCGUGGGGGAGCGAUCCGG